rnacentral:tRNA from 1 species
GCAUACAUAGUAUAAAUAUGAUACAUUAGAUUUAGGUUCUAAAGAUUAAAAGUAUGUU